rnacentral:rRNA from 1 species
UACGGAGGGUGCAAGCGUUGUUCGGAAUCACUGGGCGUAAAGCGCGUGUAGGCGGCUUGGCAAGUCGAGUGUGAAAUCCCAGGGCUCAACCCUGGAACUGCACCCGAAACUGCCUCGCUGGAGUCCCGGAGAGGGUGGCGGAAUUUCCGGUGUAGAGGUGAAAUUCGUAGAUACCGGAAGGAACACCAGUGGCGAAGGCGGCCACCUGGACGGUGACUGACGCUGAGACGCGAAAGCGUGGGGAGCAAACAGG